AUAAACUACCGGCCUUUUGGCUAAGAUCAAGUGUAGUAUCUGUUCUUAUCAAAUUGGAGAACUGCUUGUUUUUUUAUUCCGACUGGGGGAUCGUGUUUGCGAUAUAAUUCCUUUUGUGGCCGAUUGGCUCUGCUCUCAAAGUCAGUAAGGAAGCACAGAGCUGUUUUUACUGACUGUGAAUUCUUGAUUCUGA